rnacentral:rRNA from 1 species
AGCGUACACGGUGGAUGCCCUGGCAGUCAGAGGCGAUGAAGGACGUGCUAAUCUGCGAUAAGCGUCGGUAAGGUGAUAUGAACCGUUAUAACCGGCGAUUUCCGAAUGGGGAAACCCAGUGUGUUUCGACACACUAUCAUUAACUGAAUCCAUAGGUUAAUGAGGCGAACCGGGGGAACUGAAACAUCUAAGUACCCCGAGGAAAAGAAAUCAACCGAGAUUCCCCCAGUAGCGGCGAGCGAACGGGGAGCAGCCCAGAGCCUGAAUCAGUGUGUGUGUUAGUGGAAGCGUCUGGAAAGGCGCGCGAUACAGGGUGACAGCCCCGUACACAAAAAUGCACAUGCUGUGAGCUCGAUGAGUAGGGCGGGACACGUGGUAUCCUGUCUGAAUAUGGGGGGACCAUCCUCCAAGGCUAAAUACUCCUGACUGACCGAUAGUGAACCAGUACCGUGAGGGAAAGGCGAAAAGAACCCCGGCGAGGGGAGUGAAAAAGAACCUGAAACCGUGUACGUACAAGCAGUGGGAGCACGCUUAGGCGUGUGACUGCGUACCUUUUGUAUAAUGGGUCAGCGACUUAUAUUCUGUAGCAAGGUUAACCGAAUAGGGGAGCCGAAGGGAAACCGAGUCUUAACUGGGCGUUAAGUUGCAGGGUAUAGACCCGAAACCCGGUGAUCUAGCCAUGGGCAGGUUGAAGGUUGGGUAACACUAACUGGAGGACCGAACCGACUAAUGUUGAAAAAUUAGCGGAUGACUUGUGGCUGGGGGUGAAAGGCCAAUCAAACCGGGAGAUAGCUGGUUCUCCCCGAAAGCUAUUUAGGUAGCGCCUCGUGAAUUCAUCUCCGGGGGUAGAGCACUGUUUCGGCAAGGGGGUCAUCCCGACUUACCAACCCGAUGCAAACUGCGAAUACCGGAGAAUGUUAUCACGGGAGACACACGGCGGGUGCUAACGUCCGUCGUGAAGAGGGAAACAACCCAGACCGCCAGCUAAGGUCCCAAAGUCAUGGUUAAGUGGGAAACGAUGUGGGAAGGCCCAGACAGCCAGGAUGUUGGCUUAGAAGCAGCCAUCAUUUAAAGAAAGCGUAAUAGCUCACUGGUCGAGUCGGCCUGCGCGGAAGAUGUAACGGGGCUAAACCAUGCACCGAAGCUGCGGCAGCGACGCUUAUGCGUUGUUGGGUAGGGGAGCGUUCUGUAAGCCUGUGAAGGUGUGCUGUGAGGCAUGCUGGAGGUAUCAGAAGUGCGAAUGCUGACAUAAGUAACGAUAAAGCGGGUGAAAAGCCCGCUCGCCGGAAGACCAAGGGUUCCUGUCCAACGUUAAUCGGGGCAGGGUGAGUCGACCCCUAAGGCGAGGCCGAAAGGCGUAGUCGAUGGGAAACAGGUUAAUAUUCCUGUACUUGGUGUUACUGCGAAGGGGGGACGGAGAAGGCUAUGUUGGCCGGGCGACGGUUGUCCCGGUUUAAGCGUGUAGGCUGGUUUUCCAGGCAAAUCCGGAAAAUCAAGGCUGAGGCGUGAUGACGAGGCACUACGGUGCUGAAGCAACAAAUGCCCUGCUUCCAGGAAAAGCCUCUAAGCAUCAGGUAACAUCAAAUCGUACCCCAAACCGACACAGGUGGUCAGGUAGAGAAUACCAAGGCGCUUGAGAGAACUCGGGUGAAGGAACUAGGCAAAAUGGUGCCGUAACUUCGGGAGAAGGCACGCUGAUAUGUAGGUGAAGUCCCUCGCGGAUGGAGCUGAAAUCAGUCGAAGAUACCAGCUGGCUGCAACUGUUUAUUAAAAACACAGCACUGUGCAAACACGAAAGUGGACGUAUACGGUGUGACGCCUGCCCGGUGCCGGAAGGUUAAUUGAUGGGGUUAGCCGCAAGGCGAAGCUCUUGAUCGAAGCCCCGGUAAACGGCGGCCGUAACUAUAACGGUCCUAAGGUAGCGAAAUUCCUUGUCGGGUAAGUUCCGACCUGCACGAAUGGCGUAAUGAUGGCCAGGCUGUCUCCACCCGAGACUCAGUGAAAUUGAACUCGCUGUGAAGAUGCAGUGUACCCGCGGCAAGACGGAAAGACCCCGUGAACCUUUACUAUAGCUUGACACUGAACAUUGAGCCUUGAUGUGUAGGAUAGGUGGGAGGCUUUGAAGUGUGGACGCCAGUCUGCAUGGAGCCGACCUUGAAAUACCACCCUUUAAUGUUUGAUGUUCUAACGUUGACCCGUGAUCCGGGUUGCGGACAGUGUCUGGUGGGUAGUUUGACUGGGGCGGUCUCCUCCUAAAGAGUAACGGAGGAGCACGAAGGUUGGCUAAUCCUGGUCGGACAUCAGGAGGUUAGUGCAAUGGCAUAAGCCAGCUUGACUGCGAGCGUGACGGCGCGAGCAGGUGCGAAAGCAGGUCAUAGUGAUCCGGUGGUUCUGAAUGGAAGGGCCAUCGCUCAACGGAUAAAAGGUACUCCGGGGAUAACAGGCUGAUACCGCCCAAGAGUUCAUAUCGACGGCGGUGUUUGGCA